AUAUAAAAGUACAAACAAGUUAUUAUCCAUGACCUAGUCUCAUAGUUCUCAAUUGCCACAGCUACAAUAACCGAAGUUACACACUUGAGCAGGAGGCAUGAUGUGAAGUUCCACAUUCUUGAGGCAUGAUGUGAAGUUCCACAUUCUUGGUUUCCUAAUUGCCACAGCUUAAAUGCCAU